rnacentral:lncRNA from 10 species
UAUGAAAUUGUCUUUGUAGGACUGUCAUGGAAAAGGAAUUCUGUAAUAAGUGCCUUUUGUUUCUGGCUUUUAUCACUCAGCAGGCUACAUUUGAGAUUAAUCCAUGAGGUUAAAUAAUCCUGAUGGAUUGCUUAACAUCAUGAGCAGAAGAAAACUAAAAACUAAGAAAGCGAAAAAGAUUGAUGAACCCAUUUACUACCAACUAAAAACAAAACAAAACACCAGACCAUCUGCAAAUUGGCAAUUGUCUUGAUUCCAUCAGAGAGCUGAGAUUGCAGAGCAACCAACUACCCCAAAAUAUAAGACAAGACAGCAGCCUCCAUGAAGAUGUAGGAUGCAAACACAUGCUUACCUGGAGGAGAUGCUUCUGGACACCAUGCACCCUGGCUUCUUCUCAAGGUAAUUUCUGGUGCUCAGGAGAAAGAUUGGGAGCAGCAGAUGAGAAGAGAGGAGGCUUCCUGAUGGAGCUGUCAUGGCACAGGGGCAGUCUUUGCUGGCACGACACAGACCCCCUCCUAAAGCCUUCUCCCCUACAGAGGGCAAGAGCCUUAAGCAAGUUGAGGGAAAGCAGCAAAUCCUGUCACACUAAAGCACAGGUGAAGACUCUGAGGCUGGGGAAGGAAACAGAUUAAAAGAAGAGAACCACGACCCUGGAGGGACACAGGUGUAUAUCCCAAGCCCAGAUCAUUAGCAAUCUCCUGCUAUGGGGCUGGAACAGGACCACAGCAAUAAAGAGCACCAGGAUUUGCCGGCAGAGAGCUGUUGAUGCUCUGAUCACUGAGCCAUCAGUUUUAUUACUUAAAUAUCUCACCUCAAUGCUAAACAUUGAGGUUUUUAAAAACAUCAUUACUGACUCCUAAAUUUUUGUCUAAAAAUUAACUCCUGGUUUUCCCCAGUCAUGUUACAAGACGUAGCUUUUUGAAUGGCUGCCAAAGAAUGGGGUUUAGACAAUCUCUUUACUUUAGGGCUUUGAAAAUAGACAACAAAUAGAGAAGGGGGAGAAAAAUGUUAGAGGAUUAAAAAUUCAACAGCCCUCAGAAGCUUGGCUGUUCUUUUCUUUAUGCUAGCCUCCAAGUCUACUUUUUGAAUAUUGAGAUGAUUGGGACAGAACAGGAUAAUAAAUAUGUAAGAAAAAAAUCAUCUAAUCUCAAUAAUCUUCUUUUCUCCCCCUAUUGUUGGCUGACAGAAAAACAAACACAAGGGUAAAGAAAAUGCUAGUUUCUCAUCUGCAGUGGAUGCGUAUGUCUGAGGGGUGAGCUUUCUCUACCAAGUGCCCGGUGAUUCAGGUUGUAAUGAGAAGAGCAAAGCACCAGGUCUCCUGCCUUUCUCUAAUCCUUCUGAAUCAGUCCCACCUUGCUGCUCCUUCUGUGCUUGUUGGAAGCGUCUCAUGGGUUUUGUUGUUGCAGUUGUUGUCUCAAUACCACAGACGUCUUUUAGUCUUUCCUUCCAUCCUCUAUCCUCCAAUGCUGCAAGCUGCUAAGGGAUUUUCAUGGCACAGGUGGGACUUUAUCCCACACUCACUGCAUUGCAUUAAAUAAGGACAAUGACAUUUCCAGAGCCCCACAGGAAUGGGGGAGGGGGGAAUAAAGGAAAGAGAGAUAAUUAUGGUCCUGUUAAAUGUAUUCUGCUUCCCUUCAUCUAAUCCCUAAAGCCUUCUAGGUAUGCAAAACCCAAGAGACUGUGUUUCUGAAGUCAUUUAAGGAAAAGGUCUAUGUAGAGAAGACAAGUUGAGGGGUUAUGUCAUCAGGGAGUGCUCUGCUCUAAUGGCCUAAUCAUGCUUAGGCGGUUUGCCAGGGAUUUGGGGUUAUUUUGUUUUGUUGUUAUUUACUUUCUUUUUUCUUACUACUGGUUUUGGUUUCAGUGUUCCCAGAAUUUGCAGUAACAAACUUUUGAAUAUAACAUGUAAGGAAGAUGGUGAUUUUUUUUUUUUUUUUUUACAGUUCAGAUUAGAGGUUUAGGUAAUAACCAAGAGACCUUGUUUUCUCCCUCUCUCCUUCCUUCUUUCAUCAGCUAUUUAUUAAACACCUCCAUGUGUAAAUAGUGCCACCAUCAUUCUAAUGACAGUUGGUUAAAAGCAAUGUAGGUGAUACAAAAAUGAAUGAAACACAAACCCUUUCUUCUUGUAGCAUAAGAACUAGCCGUGCAGUUCCAGAAUGGCUAUGGUGAGCAAACACUUCGCUGUGGAACAAUUGCUCCCUGGCCAUUAUGCUCAGGCAGGAAGGUGCCAGGGUCUGCAGCACACACCCUAGUACCCCAGUGCUCAGCCAGUGCUUGGCAGAAACUGGGCUCCAUAAAUGUUUCUUGAACUAACUGAGUGAAUGAAUAGACGGACCCUAGAGAACUUUCCAUUCACAUUUUCUGUGUCCAAACCAACUUUCAGAUUUGGAUCUUUAUUAUGAGGAAUCUAGACACACAGAGACCUGCUAACUCACCUCCACAAAUACCAAAGGGGAUUUUCCAGUUCUUGGAGACAUUUGGAGACUUUCCAAAUCAUGGCAGAACAUAGAGAAAUUACCAAAAUGCAAGCCUCUGAAGAAGAGUUCUCUAAACUCCAGAACUCUGCAGACUUCCCGCUCUACUUUAAAAGCAGCAAAACUACAAUACAGAACAAAACAACUUUAAAGGAUACUCUGUCCAGGAGGAUAGGAGGAAGCCUUAACAUGACCAUUCACUCUUCAUGUGAGAGGCAAUCUUACCCUGGUUUUGACCAUCUUUAAUAAGAAGCAGACCUGUGCCCAGCUGAUCCCACAAGAUGGAAGACCUGAGGACCACCCUUCCGGAGAAUCAAAGGCAAAGGUUGCUCAUCUGGUAUGUGUCUUAUCUUCAAUGAAGAACUUUGUCUAUUCUUAGC